GUGCCAGCCGCCGCGGUAAUACGGAGGGGGUUAGCGUUGUUCGGAAUUACUGGGCGUAAAGCGCACGUAGGCGGAUCAGAAAGUUGGGGGUGAAAUCCCGGGGCUCAACCCUGGAACUGCCUCAUAAACUCCCAGUCUUGAGUUCGAGAGAGGUGAGUGGAACUCCGAGUGUAGAGGUGAAAUUCGUAGAUAUUCGGAAGAACACCAGUGGCGAAGGCGGCUCACUGGCUCGAUACUGACGCUGAGGUGCGAAAGCGUGGGUAGCAAACAGGAUUAGAAACCCGGGUAGUCC
rnacentral:rRNA from 1 species